UCCGCCAAAAAUCCAAACAAAAAUCUGCGCGUCUUCCCGUUUUCUAUCAAGCACAGAGAAACGGCGAUGUGGAGGAUUUGCGACUGCUCCUCCACUCUCCGAAUUCAAGCUGUGGAGUUCCUCGUCAAUCUGCUGAUGUCGGUACCAACACACUUGCCACAACACGUACAAACGCUCUUAUACCUUUGGAAUUUUUGUUCAUUCCAUCAUGUAAUUUAAUUUAUUUUUUUUAAUGGCUGAAAAAUUAUAGCGAUUUGAAGUUUCUCCGAUCGUUAAAUACACUGCAUUGUCCCUCUUUCUGAUUGAUUCAGUCCUUCUCUCUCCAGGUAUAAUCUAUAACACGAAUUUGUUUUGCUACUCUCUCUCUCUCUCUAUAUAUAUAUAUAUGCUGUAGUCAUUGAAUUUGAGUUGAUAGAGUAGUUGAUUGCAGCUGUCCAUCCAAAUUUCUAUAUUCACUGUCCUUAGUAUUGUUAAAUGGAAGCUCAAUUUGGAGAUUUUACU
rnacentral:lncRNA from 1 species